rfam:Candidatus Falkowbacteria bacterium RIFOXYD2_FTLL_34_120 rifoxyd2_full_scaffold_268, whole genome shotgun sequence.
GCCGCAGUGCUGGAAUCGGUAGACAGGCCAGCUUGAGGGGCUGGUGUCCAUUAGGGCGUAAGGGUUCAACUCCCUUCUGCGGCA